UCCGGCGCAGGAAGGCUUCAUCUUUGAGUCCUCUGCUCGAAGCUCUGUGUCUGGAGCACAGCGGGAUCAUCAGAAUACCUGAUGGGUGAAGCUCCUCUGCCCUGCAUGCAGUGUAUCCGAAUGCCCGGGCUGAUGAACUCUUUGCACUUCAUUCCCUUGAUUCCAUGUUUGACAGACGUAAACACAGCGGUGCCUCUGGCAACAUGAAGCAUAUUUACUUUCGUCCAGUAACAUCACAGCCCUUCUUCUCUUGGAAACUGCUUCGUCCUUUCCUUCAAAUGUAGCUCUUGCAGGGCCACCAUGUUUUUAUAUCACCCUGUUCCCAAAGCUAGAGUUGAAUGGUACAAAAGCGGCCACUGGACCCAAACCAGGACAAUGCAAGCUCUUCCUCUUGCCUUUUCUAGUUGGCACUGAGUACAAAGCUCCCAAUCAGGUAGUGAAAACUACAGAAUAUGAUACUUAAGAGCAAUUGGUAGCCGUUUUUCCUGACUCAUGGAGGAAACAAACAAAGCCAACAGGCAAAGAUAAAAGACGAAAAAUAAUUUUAAUAGCGUUUGUAGUGGACUUUGCCAGCGUCCCACCCAUAUCCCUCUGAGACCUCCUUUAACCAUUUCUGUGCACCUCUUCCCCAGCUUGUGUGCAUUUGCUUCUAAUAGCCUACAUCUGUGACGCUAUUAGGACACAGCUUUUGCAUUACCGGAGCAUCUCUGUGUUUUGGCAUUUAAUGGUCCACACCUGUGACUCUUUUACGACGCCAUCUUUUUGGCUAAUGGAGCUUCUUUGCCCUGACACGUGAAGCCAGAAGUGCCUGGGUUUACAUUUCCCCCAGGGUGGGGUUGGGAGCUUAAUCAAUAGCUGACUGGUGCAGUCGUAUGAAGACCAAGCUCCCUUGCCACCAGUUGGCGCGAACUCUGAGUUACAAUUUACGCUUUGGAGCUCCCCCGCGGCAUCAGGCUGAAGCUGGGACUUGGCUUGGAAUAGCAUACUUGUUUGGCUCCUUCCCCUUUCCCGUCCUGCUUCUCACACUACCUUCCUGGUUUCUCCAAAGAACACGAAAAGCAGAAACUAAGACAGCAUUCAGGUGAGUCACUGGUCCCUCUGGGACUGUUCAAUAUAUCUCUGAA